rnacentral:rRNA from 1 species
GCUAGUCGCACGGGUUCAGACCCGUGGCGAAUAGCUCCGUAACACGUGGUCAAACUACCCUUCAGAGGGCGAUACCCUCGGGAAACUGAGGCUAAUAGCCCAUAGGCGUCUCCUGCUGGAAUGUCGAGACGUUCAAACGCUCCGGCGCUGGAGGAUGUGACUGCGGCCGAUUAGGUAGACGGUGGGGUAACGGCCCACCGUGCCGAUAAUCGGUACGGGUUGUGAGAGCAAGAACCCGGAGACGGAAUCUGAGACAAGAUUCCGGGCCCUACGGGGCGCAGCAGGCGCGAAACCUUUACACUGCACGGAAGUGCGAUAAGGGGACCCCGAGUGCGAGGGCAUACAGUCCUCGCUUUUGUACACCGUAAGGAGGUGUACGAAUAAGAGCUGGGCAAGACCGGUGCCAGCCGCCGCGGUAAUACCGGCAGCUCGAGUGAUGACCGAUUUUAUUGGGCCUAAAGCGUCCGUAGCUGGCCGCGCAAGUCCAUCGGGAAAUCCGCACGCUCAACGUGCGGGCGUCCGGUGGAAACUGCGUGGCUUGGGACCGGAAGACCCGAGGGGUACGUCCAGGGUAGGAGUGAAAUCCCGUAAUCCUGGACGGACCGCCGAUGGCGAAAGCACCUCGGGAAGACGGAUCCGACAGUGAG